UCUGUUUUUUGUUUGUUUGCUUUUCCACUUAACUACAGAGUUGAUGGUGUUUUACAAAACCAUGCAUGGAUCAAGGCAACUGGAACCAGGAUCGUCUUCUCUUUGCAGCCCUUUUCGGAGGAAACCUGCCUGAUGCUUAUUUCUUCCUGGAGUAUUUUAUCCUGUGAGAAUCUCUGUUUUUAAAGCGCUAAUCGGUGCCUUCAAACGUCUUCAGUUUGUCCCAGUGAAAGCUUGAAGCCGGACUAAUCUGAAUGUUAAGACAAAGCUAAGUGGACGAAUCGAAUGAAAGGAACCGAAACCAUCAAACGUUUGAAAUAUUUCCAUUUUAUUCGAUGCUUUGACAGUGAAAGUCAUUGAACGCAACAUUCAGUUUGUAGAUCAAAUAAAUGCAGCAAAAUGCAAUAACAAAAAGUACUUUGUUAGUUUUCCAGUAAAGACAUACACUCUUCCCCUGCAUCCAAAUAUAGAAUAUUACUUCUUUUUUUUCUACUCACACUUCUUUAAAACAAGGCCUUUGUCUACCCAGCGGUCUUCCCUGUUUUUGUAUGUUUGUGUGUACGGGCCGGGGGGGGGGGGGGCUGCCAGGCAGAGGUCAAACGCUGUGGAGAGACGGGGUGAAUUGGGCGGGAAUGCAGAAGGAGGAGACAAAGUGCCUCUGGAAACAACGAAGGGGUUAAUGUUCACCUCCGCUUCAACCGUCCCCUGCCCUCCACACGUGUAACGUGAGCUCACUGCAUUGCAGGUAACGUUAUUAAUCAUGUUGUAACGUUUUGCUACUUGCUCAUUUCACAUCUUUCUUCUUCUUCUUCUUCUUCUUCUUUUUUUUUUAAAACCUAGGCCCAGACGUCGAGUUAACUGAUGCCUCUGUACCUGCUGCUGAUGGUUGCGUGUUCAGUUCCAUCAGAGCCGAGCCGCCGGGGAGCCGCGGGCGCAAACCAUAAGAACUGGUAAAGCCGCACAGAAGAACCUGUGUGCAACUUGUAAUUGAAAGAUUAGAGGAAUCGUGUUAUGAACUGUUAUUGACGGCACCUCUCCUGUUUACACUCCAGAGAGACAGCGCCUUAAAGGAUUAGGUUAGCGAUGCUCUGCGUUGUCAUCAAAUCCCAGGAGAGGACCGGCAGUAUGUGUCUGAGCUUGAGAUCAUCUCAAAAAAAAAAAAAAAAAAAAAAAAAAUCAGCCCCCUCCCCAAACACAAACACAUGCUACCGUUGAGCAAAUCCACCAUGUGGAUUAGUCCGCCGCUAAAAAUAGUCCCCUGCAGCUCAGAAAGAAACGACAUAUUUGUGUUUUAACCACGAGCUGAAAGGUUAGAGAAAAGUUAGGAAAAGGCACAAAAACUUUUUACUCUUUUUGUGGAUUAUUUUCUUAAAAAUGUCCGCUUCAUACGUUAGUUUUUAAUCUCAAGAGCCUGUCGGGUGUUUAGAAGAAGGAUUUUAGAAGCCAAAUUGAAGCUUUUCAGUGUCCCAGUCUGACAUAAAACGCAUUUUUAGAGGAUCAAAGUUCAAAUAUUUGCGCAGACGUGGCGUUGGAGAGAAAACAUCUCCUGCAGGAACAGUCCUCAUUAGAUACCGUGAUGCUCAGGCAGAGACCUCGUUUAAAAGCCCAAUAAUGAGGUCCAUACAUGGAUGUUUUUUUGUUUUUCACAAUUAUAUUUUUCUAAAAAAACAAACUAAACAUGCACAUCAUUUGCCGCUUGGGAAAGGUCUCCCGGCGUACUGUGACUUCGUGUAUAUGUGCCAUCCCUGAUCACGUGGCUCCGGCUAAAACUUUCUUUAACGCGCUCGACAGAAGCGGCCACUUUCAGAUCCUCUUUUCACGCCGCGCUGCGAGAGGACGACACGCAUGUCAGUCGUGUGCCGACGCUCUUCCUGUGUACGGUUGGAAAACGUGUUGAUUACAUGUAUUCAAGCUGUUUCCAUGAGCAGGGGAGCACAGGAUGUAUGCUGCUGCUGCUGCUGCUGGAGGACUAAUGAGAUCCACCAUCAGCGUGCAGAGACGCAUGGUCACAGCCUGCUAGUUCCUCCUCUUCAUUUUACCUUUUUUUUUUCUCUCAAUUAUCCCUUCGCCCUCCUGCUCUCCUAUCACAUGACCUCAGGCACAGACCCUCGGCCGCCCCGACCACCUCCGCGUUAACUGUAACCUUCCGAGUCUAGAAAAUGGAAGUUGCGCGACCAGUCGGGCGAGUGACAGUUUGCACAAAAAUUUACUUUAUUCACGUGCGCGUACGUAAUGUGUUAAGACGGCCGCCUGCACGUGCUCUUCACCACCACCAGCAGCAGCAGCAGCAGCAGAAGCAGCAGCGGAGCCGAGGCGGAGUUUCUCCGUGGAGUUACAUCCAUAAAGGUGCCGGGAAGAACCUGUUUGGUUACACGCGUCCGCUUCCGUCACAUUAACACCCCGUAAAUCUCGGUUUCGGAUGUAAACGUCUGCGGGCUUUCGGCUAAUCGGUUUCAUUUAAAUGGGUUCGCAGAUUAAAAAAAGAAAUUUAACGACCGUUGGCGGGAAGAGAGGAGGAAAAUUUGGAGGAGACUGACCUUUGGGUGUAGUUUGAUGGCGCAUGCUGUCAAUCUGAAUGACUGCUCAAGUCAAAAAGCUUAAGGUCAGCA